rnacentral:rRNA from 1 species
AUUGAACGCUGGCGGCAGGCCUAACACAUGCAAGUCGAGCGAGCGGCGGACGGGUGAUGAAUGUCUGGGAGACUGCCUGAUGGAGGGGGAUAACUACUGGAAACGGUAGCUAAUACCGCAUCCCAUCAGAUGUGCCCAGGUGGGAUUAGCUAGUAGGUGGGGUAACGGCCCACCUAGGCGACGAUCCCUAGCUGGUCUGAGAGGAUGACCAGCCUCACUGGAACGGAGACACGGUCCAGACUCCUACGGGAGGCAGCAGUGGGGAAUAUUGCACAAUGGGCGAAAGCCUGAUCCAGCCAUGCCGCGUGUGUGAAGAAGGCCUUCGGGUUGUAAAGCACUUUCAGCUGGGAGGCGUUACCCGCAGAAGAAGCACCGGCUAACUCCGUGCCAGCAGCCGCGGUAAUUC